rnacentral:tRNA from 1 species
AAAAUUUUAGUUUAAGUAGAAUAAAGAAUUGUAAAUUCUUGGGUUGAGAAAUUUUG